AUGCAAGUCGAGCGAUGAAACACUCUUCGGGUGUGAAUUAGCGGCGAACGGGUGAGGAACACGUGAAGAAUCUGCCUUCAACUCUGGGAUAACUCCGGGAAACCGGGGCUAAUACCGGAUAUGAGCCUUGAUCGCAUGAUCGGGGCUGGAAAGUUUUUCGGUUGAAGAUGACUUCGCGGCCUAUCAGCUUGUUGGUGAGGUAAUGGCUCACCAAGGCGACGACGGGUAGCCGGCCUGAGAGGGCGACCGGCCACACUGGGACUGAGACACGGCCCAGACUCCUACGGGAGGCAGCAGUGGGGAAUAUUGGGCAAUGGAGGAAACUCUGACCCAGCGACGCCGCGUGAGGGAUGAAGGCCUUCGGGUUGUAAACCUCUUUCAGUAGGGAAGAAGCGAAAGUGACGGUACCUACAGAAGAAGCACCGGCUAACUAUGUGCCAGCAGCCGCGGUAAUACAUAGGGUGCAAGCGUUGUCCGGAAUUAUUGGGCGUAAAGAGCUCGUAGGUGGUUCGAUACGUCGGAUGUGAAAAUCAGGGGCUCAACCCCUGACCUGCAUCCGAUACGGUCGAGCUAGAGUUUGGUAGGGGAGACUGGAAUUCCUGGUGUAGCGGUGGAAUGCGCAGAUAUCAGGAGGAACACCGAUGGCGAAGGCAGGUCUCUGGGCCAAUACUGACACUGAGGAGCGAAAGCGUGGGGAGCGAACAGGAUUAGAUACCCUGGUAGUCCACGCCGUAAACGGUGGGCGCUAGUUGUGCGAACCUUCCACGGUUUGUGCGACGCAGCUAACGCAUUAAGCGCCCCGCCUGGGGAGUACGAUCGUAAGAUUAAAACUCAAAGGAAUUGACGGGGCCCCGCACAAGCAGCGGAGCAUGCGGCUUAAUUCGACGCAACGCGAAGAACCUUA
rnacentral:rRNA from 1 species